AAGCUGCUCAGGAAACAAAAAGAAAUUCUUCCUUCACUCGUUCCGCACCUCCACGUUUAAAUUCAAUGCAUUUACAGGGUGUGAAACCCACCAGUUCUUCCACCAACAUCAGCACCAUCGACCCUGAAAGGAAACAACUCACCGUGCAGGUCGUGAGGAACGUCGUCCUUCCCGUCAAAACACGUGACUGGACAGGACAGGACGGGCCUGUCGGGUUUGUCACACCUGUAGUUCUCCACCACGUGCAGGUCGGCCUUCAGGGCAGGCAGGAAGAGCCUCAGAACUUCAGGAUUGGCCAGCAGCUC